CUACGUGCCAGCAGCCGCGGUAAUACGGAGGGUGCGAGCGUUAAUCGGAAUAACUGGGCGUAAAGGGCACGCAGGCGGUGACUUAAGUGAGGUGUGAAAGCCCCGGGCUUAACCUGGGAAUUGCAUUUCAUACUGGGUCGCUAGAGUACUUUAGGGAGGGGUAGAAUUCCACGUGUAGCGGUGAAAUGCGUAGAGAUGUGGAGGAAUACCGAUGGCGAAGGCAGCCUCCUGGGAUAACACUGACGUUCAUGCCCGAAAGCGUGGGUAGCAAACAGGAUUAGAUACCCUGGUAGUCCACGCCCUAAACGAUGUCGAUUAGCUGUUGGGCAGCAUGACUGCUUAGUAGCGAAGCUAACGCGUGAAAUCGACCGCCUGGGGAGUACGGUCGCAAGAUUAAAACUCAAAGGAAUUGACGGGGACCCGCACAAGCGGUGGAUGAUGUGGAUUAAUUCGAUGCAACGCGAAGAACCUUACCUGGUCUUGACAU
rnacentral:rRNA from 1 species